AGAGUUUGAUCAUGGCUCAGAUUGAACGCUGGCGGCAGGCUUAACACAUGCAAGUCGAGCGGUAACAGGGGGAGCUUGCUCCCUGCUGACGAGCGGCGGACGGGUGAGUAAUGCAUAGGAAUCUGCCCAGUAGUGGGGGAUAGCCCGGGGAAACCCGGAUUAAUACCGCAUACGCCCUUUGGGGGAAAGCAGGGGAUCUUCGGACCUUGCGCUAUUGGAUGAGCCUAUGUCGGAUUAGCUAGUUGGUGGGGUAACGGCCCACCAAGGCGACGAUCCGUAGCUGGUCUGAGAGGAUGAUCAGCCACAUCGGGACUGAGACACGGCCCGAACUCCUACGGGAGGCAGCAGUGGGGAAUAUUGGACAAUGGGGGCAACCCUGAUCCAGCCAUGCCGCGUGUGUGAAGAAGGCUUUCGGGUUGUAAAGCACUUUCAGUGAGGAGGAAAACCUUAUGGCGAAUACCCAUGAGGCUUGACGUUACUCACAGAAGAAGCACCGGCUAACUCCGUGCCAGCAGCCGCGGUAAUACGGAGGGUGCAAGCGUUAAUCGGAAUUACUGGGCGUAAAGCGCGCGUAGGCGGCGUGAUAAGCCGGUUGUGAAAGCCCCGGGCUCAACCUGGGAACGGCAUCCGGAACUGUCAGGCUAGAGUGCACGAGAGGAAGGUAGAAUUCCCGGUGUAGCGGUGAAAUGCGUAGAGAUCGGGAGGAAUACCAGUGGCGAAGCGGCCUUCUGGACUGACACUGACGCUGAUGUGCGAAAGCGUGGGUAGCAAACAGGAUUAGAUACCCUGGUAGUCCACGCCGUAAACGAUGUCGA
rnacentral:rRNA from 1 species